AGGAGCAACAGCCCCAGUGGCGGGGCCAGCUCUGGAGCCCUGGAGCUCCAGAGCUCUCCGUCUGCAGGGCCUGGAGGCUCCAGGGCGGG
rnacentral:pre_miRNA from 1 species